AACUGCGCACGAAUCAUGUCGCACUCUGUCGAUCUCCAGUGGAUCCUGGUCCGCCAGAACAGCCGCUUCCUGCAGAAGCGCGGCGGCAUUCGCAUGAGCAACGACCCGUUCAACAACAACGGCAACUGGACGAAGCGCCACUGCGGCUUCCUGAACGAGAAGGCUGCUGUUGUGAAGCCGGCGAAGGGUGGUGCGAUCUGCGUGACGGUGAAGGACGGCAGCAGCAACAACAAACCGAGGCAGACGUACAGGAAGACCGUGCAUGCUGCUGGCGUGAGGGCGUCGGACGUGAGCCGUGCCGUGGCUGCUGUGCGUCCGGACCUCGCGGACGUGUCGUUCCGCCGCGCGCGCCGCAUGGCCUGCAUUGCGAGCCGCACGGCGAAGGUGGCUGCUGCGCGCAAGGCCCGCUCCGAGAAGAUCAAGUUUUCACGCAAGUCCGUGCGCGCGAAGCGCCACUAGGCCGCGCGUGCGCGUGCCGCUGCCGGACUGCGAGGCGCCAGCCGAUUCGCUUGCGUUGCUUCUCUCCUUUUUCUUCGCAUUGCGCGUUUUGUUUUUGUGUUUUAUCAUUCCCCGCCUUCGCAAAACACGCGUCGUCUCUUCGCCGCCGCGCUCGUGCGCGGCAUCGCCGUCGGCUGCGAGUGACGGAGACAGGCGCGAUGUGAGUUGAGGCGAAGCCGCAAGAAAAAAAAAAUAUGUAUGCGAGCGCGAGGGCGAGCGGGCUCGGACACCCUCCUGCCCAGACUGCAGCGUGCGCUGCCGUCAUCGCAAGGAUGGGGAGGCGGCAGCUGUGUCGAGUCCGAUGGCAUUGUGCGCGUGUGUCCGAGUGGCGCCGACGCCGCGCCUCCACCUGCGCUCCUCUUGUUGGUACUCCCAAGCUCCGUCGUAGGUGCUGCGUCGUUGCUGUGAGCGAUGCGAUGAGGGUGUGGGGUGUAUUCGAGCGUGCCACUGUGAAGCGGGUGCAACGCCAGUGAUUGUUGGCUCACACAGGCGCGCACGUGCGCAUAUGUAUAGCUGUACGCUCACGCGCACCCGGCUUGCCGGCGGCGUUUCCGCGCAGCGCCAGCUUGUUUCGACGACUGCGCUGCUGCCUGGUGCCCUGCAUGUUAGUGGAGUAGCUGAUUUCUCGCUUGUGCGCCGUCGUUUCUCACCUGUCUUCACGUAUUCUCGUGCACUCGGUCUCUCGCACCGCUGCCUGUCGCUCACCCGACAUGUCAUCUGUGUUCGGUGCUGGAG
rnacentral:misc_RNA from 1 species